rnacentral:tRNA from 2 species
GGCCAAGUAGUUCAACUGGAUAGAACAUCAGAUUUCGGCUCUGACGGUUGAGGGUUCGAAUCCUUCCUUGGUCACUA